CAAUAGCGUAUAUUAAAGUUGUUGCGGUUAAAAAGCUCGUAGUUGGAUUUCUGCUGAGAACGACCGGUCCGCCCUUUGGGUGUGUAUCUGGCUCUUUCUUGGCAUCUUCUUGGUGAACGUUGCUGCACUUGACUGUGUGGAGCGCUACCCAGGACUUUUACUUUGAGGAAAUUAGAGUGUUUCAAGCAGGCAUACGCCUUGAAUACAUUAGCAUGGAAUAAUAAGAUAGGACCUCGGUUCUAUUUUGUUGGUUUCUAGAGCUGAGGUAAUGAUUAAUAGGGAUAGUUGGGGGCAUUCGUAUCUAACUGUCAGAGGUGAAAUUCUUGGAUUUGUUAAAGACGGACUACUGCGAAANCANNNGCCAAGGAUGUUUUCAUNGA
rnacentral:rRNA from 1 species